rnacentral:tRNA from 1 species
CUUUGAAGGGGGGCGGCGUGCUGGCGGUGUGGUCGCAGGGGCCGGACAAGUCGUUCGGCGCGCGGCUGUUCAAAUCGGGCUUCAAGGUC